rnacentral:pre_miRNA from 1 species
AGCAGAAUUGUUGGGUCAUAUGAUAAUUUUAUGUUUAAGGAACUGCUAGACUGUUUUCUAAAGUGGCUUCAUCAUUUUACAUUCCCACUAGCAAU